GUAUCUGGCCCCCGGGCCUUGAGUUUGACUUAGAGAGAGCUUCUCCGCUGUAUGUAUUAUCCAAAUUACGUAGUUGUCCACGAAAGCGAAAACUAAUUAUCAUACAUGUCUGAGACUUUUUUUUGUAAUUUAAAUAGACAAGUGACAUGUGUAUCAAAUUGUUUGGGGGGGGGGGGGGGGUUCAAGAGCAGAAAUUGAAAGGUUUAUUAAACUUAAAUACUAUACGCUUAAUAAUUUCAGAUAAUCUUAUAGUAUCUGUAGUGUCUGUGCAGCUCAUUUACAGCCAUUUUACAGAAGACUGAAAAGAUCUUCUUUACAUAGAUGCCAUAUAUUCAUAUUAUAUCAAUAGGUGUUAAUGUGAUACGUUUUCCUCUCAACUCCAAGUGUGUUUGUGUAAAUACUAAGUGUAUAAAAUGAUUGAAAGAACAACCUAAGGGGAGAUCGUGUAAUCACAGCAAGUCAACAGGAGGUCUUCAAAAUCCCACGCCACAGAGCAUCAGGCCAAUAUAAAUCUUUUAUUUCGUGCCAUUUUUCUUGCUUGACAGACUUUUAAUGAGCUUUUCAACCUUCUUUAAACUUAUUUAAUCCCACACAUGAAAGAAAAUAGCAAGUUAAUGAAGGUGAAAAGUGCAUUUAAGGUGUAUUUUAUAUUUGACCAAGAAGAAUGAUACACUCACUGCGUAUUGUGUGAAGUGCAACUAUAAUAGUGAUUGGAAAAUGAAGCUUCAAAAUGCUUCAUGAGCCAAUUGUUGAGUAUUUAUUCCAUUAGAUCACAGUCAUUUUUCAAAAUAGAGCUGAAACUUUCAGCUAAUGAUGGGAUAGUGAAGCUUCAAAUUUGCUCCUCUAGAUGGCAUUUUCCGGUUGAAACAAAAGGGGUUUAUAAAAUGGCAAGUUGGUGUGGAUUCAGCCUGAUAUUAAAUGAUGACUGCCAUCUAGAAGAGUCAAAUAAUACAAUUGGUUCAUGAACUCAACUGUGGUUGGAAAAAGGAGAGCAGCAAAA